rnacentral:rRNA from 1 species
AACGAACGCUGGCGGCAUGCCUAACACAUGCAAGUCGAACGAGACCUUCGGGUCUAGUGGCGCACGGGUGCGUAACGCGUGGGAACCCGCCCUUAGGUUCGGAAUAACUCCCCGAAAGGGGUGCUAAUACCGGAUAAUGUCUUCGGACCAAAGAUUUAUCGCCUUUGGAUGGGCCCGCGUUGGAUUAGCUAGUUGGUAGGGUAAAAGCCUACCAAGGCGACGAUCCAUAGCUGGUCUGAGAGGAUGGUCAGCCACACUGGGACUGAGACACGGCCCAGACUCCUACGGGAGGCAGCAGUGGGGAAUAUUGGACAAUGGGCGAAAGCCUGAUCCAGCAAUGCCGCGUGAGUGAUGAAGGCCUUAGGGUUGUAAAGCUCUUUUACCCGGGAUGAUAAUGACAGUACCGGGAGAAUAAGCUCCGGCUAACUCCGUG